CUUUCUUGAUUCGGUGGGUGGUGGUGCAUGGCCGUUCUUAGUUGGUGGAGCGAUUUGUCUGGUUAAUUCCGAUAACGAACGAGACUCUAGCCUGCUAAAUAGGUGACGGGUUUUAUCAAUUGAAACCGAAGGAAGUACGGAGGCGUCGGGAUCAGGUGGCGGCGUUUCGGGUUUCGGUGGGACUGGUUCCUUUAGUGAGUGCAAUCUCUCGGCUUGGUUUCGUUGCGCUUUUCGUUGGGUUGUGUACGGCCUUCACGGGUUGGUUGCUGCCUGAUGACGAGUGUGGCGGGGCUUUGUUGGGAAUGUCUCGCGGGGGCCGGUUCUAUCGUUAUUCGGGCGUCGUCAUCCCCGGCGAUACCUUCUGCUCUCGCGUCCGUCACGCAGUCUUCUUAGAGGGACAAGCGGCGUCCAGCCGCGUGACAGUAAGCAAUAACAGGUCUGUGAUGCCCUUAGAUGUCCUGGGCCGCACGCGCGCUACACUGAAGGAAUCAGCGUG
rnacentral:rRNA from 1 species